GCAGCAGUGCAGCAUAGUGGUAAGGAGCAGGGCUUUUAACUGAAAGGUUGUCGGUUCGAUUCCCUCCUGGGGCA